GGUUAAGCUAUUAAGAGCACACGGAGGAUGCCUAGGCGCUAGGAGCCGAAGAAGGACGUGGCGAACAACGAAAUGCCUCGGGGAGUCGUAAGCAGACAUCGAUCCGGGGAUAUCCGAAUGGGGGAACCCACGUACUGUAAUAGGUACGUACCCUAGACUGAAUACAUAGGUCUAGAGGAGGCAGACCAGGGGAACUGAAACAUCUAAGUACCCUGAGGAAGAGAAAACAAAAGUGAUUCCGUCAGUAGCGGCGAGCGAACGCGGAUUAGCCCAAACCAACAGGCUUGCCUGUUGGGGUUGUGGGACACUCCACAUGGAGUUACAAAGGAAUGGUUUAGGUGAAGUGUCUGGAAAGACACACCACAGAAGGUAAUAGUCCUGUAACUAAAAAAUCAUUCUCUCCGGAGUGGAUCCCGAGUAGUGCGGGGCACGUGAAACCCCGUAUGAAUCUGGCAGGACCAUCUGCCAAGGCUAAAUACUCCCUAGCGACCGAUAGUGAAGCAGUACCGUGAGGGAAAGGUGAAAAGGACCCCGGGAGGGGAGUGAAAUAGAACCUGAAACCGUGUGCUUACAAGAAGUCAGAGCCCGUUUAAUGGGUGAUGGCGUGCCUUUUGUAGAAUGAACCGGCGAGUUACGUUAGCGUGCAAGGUUAAAGUGAAGAGCUGGAGCCGCAGCGAAAGCGAGUCUGAAUAGGGCGAGUUAGUACGUUGACGUAGACCCGAAACCGUGUGAUCUACCCCUGUCCAGGGUGAAGGUGAGGUAACACUCACUGGAGGCCCGAACCCACUUAUGUUGAAAAAUGAGGGGAUGAGGUGGGGGUAGCGGAGAAAUUCCAAUCGAACUCGGAAAUAGCUGGUUCUCCCCGAAAUAGCUUUAGGGCUAGCCUUGGGGGUAAGUCGUGGAGGUAGAGCACUGAUUGGGUGCGGGGCCCGUCAAGGGUUACCAAGCUCAGUCAAACUCCGAAUGCCAUAGACUUUAAACCCCAGGAGUCAGACGGUGAGUGCUAAGAUCCAUCGUCAAAAGGGAAACAGCCCAGACCAUCAGCUAAGGUCCCCAAGUGUGUGUUAAGUGGGAAAGGAUGUGGAGUUGCACAGACAACCAGGAUGUUGGCUUAGAAGCAGCCACCAUUGAAAGAGUGCGUAAUAGCUCACUGGUCGAGUGACUCUGCGCCGAAAAUGUAACGGGGCUAAACACACCACCGAAGCUAUGGCUUGAUACAUUUGUAUCAGGGGUAGGGGAGCGUUGUAUGUAGGUUGAAGGUAUACCGUAAGGAGUGCUGGACAGCAUACAAGUGAGAAUGCCGGUAUAAGUAACGAAAAGACAAGUGAGAAUCUUGUCCGCCGAAAGCCCAAGGUUUCCUGAGGAAGGCUCGUCCUCUCAGGGUAAGUCGGGACCUAAGGUGAGGCCGAAAGGCGUAAUCGAAGGACAACAGGUUGAAAUUCCUGUACCACCGUAAACCGCUAUGAGCAAUUGGGGUGACGCAGAAGGGAACAGUUGCAGACUGAUGGAUAUGUCUGUUCAAGCAGUAAGACUGGUGUGUAGGCAAAUCCGCACACCGUGAAGGUUGAGCUGUGAUGAGGAGGGAAAAUUGUAGUACCGAAGAACUCGCACUCAUGCUGCCAAGAAAAGCCUCUAGCCAGGUGAAGGUGCCCGUACCGCAAACCGACACAGGUAGGCGAGAAGAGAAUUCUAAGGCGCGCGGAAGAACUCUCGUUAAGGAACUCGGCAAAAUGACCCCGUAACUUCGGGAGAAGGGGUGCUCCGUUAGGGU
rnacentral:rRNA from 1 species